rnacentral:rRNA from 1 species
AGGGUUUGAUUAUGGCUCAGAUUGAACGCUGGCGGCAGGCCUAACACAUGCAAGUCGAGCGGUAACAGGAAGUAGCUUGCUACUUCGCUGACGAGCGGCGGACGGGUGAGUAAUGCCUGGGAAUAUGCCUUGAUGUGGGGGAUAACUAUUGGAAACGAUAGCUAAUACCGCAUAAUGCCUACGGGCCAAAGAGGGGGAUCUUCGGACCUCUCGCGUCAAGAUUAGCCCAGGUGGGAUUAGCUAGUUGGUGGGGUAAAGGCUCACCAAGGCGACGAUCCCUAGCUGGUCUGAGAGGAUGAUCAGCCACACUGGAACUGAGACACGGUCCAGACUCCUACGGGAGGCAGCAGUGGGGAAUAUUGCACAAUGGGGGAAACCCUGAUGCAGCCAUGCCGCGUGUAUGAAGAAGGCCUUCGGGUUGUAAAGUACUUUCAGCAGUGAGGAAGGUGAUAGUGUUAAUAGCACUAUCAUUUGACGUUAGCUGCAGAAGAAGCACCGGCUAACUCCGUGC